UCCCGUAUAAUCCAUCCCGACGGACUGUUAAUCCGCAGGUCCCUGGUUCGAGUCCAGGUCGGGGAG
rnacentral:tRNA from 1 species